AUUCUCCGCCUCUUCUAGGGUAGGCAGGUGUUCCCGAGUCCCUUAGGGGGGGUCCCCGCGGCGGCCUGAGAUGCUCGGCGCCAGGUUGUCGCGCCCUUGAGCUGGCUGAAGUAGACAUUGACUCUGGAGAGUCUGCGUUUUUCCUGGUCCCAGAGCCGUGGUCCCGAUACUGCGCUUCCCGCUCCUCCAGUCCCAGCUCCCAGGCUCCGUCUUCUCCCGCUUGGCGCUGGAGAAACACCGGAAGAGAGAGUCGCAGAGUGACUGCUGUGGCCCUGCGACCUGACUGCCACCUUCCAGGACUCUAGCCCUGGCUCCUUCUAACCUUCCCGCCCCUCAGUGCCCCAGAGAGGCUGGUUUGCGGACAAUUAUUCAUCAGCCGGAAGAAAAGGAGGUGCCAGUGUUAGGCGCAGAAGAGGGUUGGACCAGAAAAGCUGGAGAGGGGCAAGAGGGGAAAGAGGGGGAAGGGGGAAGGCGGAAGGCGGAAGAAGUUGGGAGGGGUAACAGCUCGAGCUUUUCCUCUAGCGUAGUUUCUCUUCUCUCGGUGCCGCCCCAUCUGCUUCUUGCCUCAGUUCCCCACUCGCACCCGUGCACCUCUGCGGCAGGCGUGUGAAAGGAAUGGGAGGGGGGGCUUUUGGUCGGGAUAUCUGGUCCUCCAGACCCCACAGCCUUGGCUGAGAACUUACUUAAGCCCACUCCAACUGACUUGAUAAAUGAGAAUCUUGACCAGCCCACUGGUAGGUAGAAAUGAGGGACGUCAUGUAUCCCUGAAUGGAAUAACCCGAAACCGCAGGUCCCGUGGAUGUGGGAAUCCACAGCACUGGCUGCGCUCCUAAGGCUCCUAAGUCCACUUCCGAACCUCAUCUAAGACCCUGAAAGCCAGACUAGGGACACAUUGGAUUAUUAUUAUUAUUUUUUUUAUUUGAGACAGGGUCUCGCUCUGUCGCCCAGGCUGGAGUGCAGUGGUGUGAUCUUGUCUCACUGCAACCUCCGCCUCCCGCGUUCAAGCGAUUUUCGUGCCUCAGCCUCCCGAGGAGCUGGAUCUACAGGUGCGCACCACCACGCCUGGAUAAUUUCUGUAUUUUUAGUAGAGACGGGGUUUCACCAUGUUUGCCAGGCUUGUCUCGAACUGUUGACCUCAAGUUAUCCUCCCGCCUCCACCUCUUAAAGUGCUGGGAUUACAGGCCUGAGCCUCUGCGCCAGUCCUACACGUUGGAUCUUUUCCCAGACCUCCUCCUCAGACGUGGAGCGUACAAAUGAUGCUCCAUCGGUUACUCUGAUCCUGACUUUGGGACUGCCAGAUAAAACUGGGAGAAACCCUACAUUUACUCUUACUGUAACGUAUUGGCUUGAAACUGCAGGUCAGAACCCAUUUAUGUUGAGACCAAAAGACUUUUUUUCCAAGUAGAAUGAAAUAGAAUAAAAUACAAUUGAAAAUA
rnacentral:lncRNA from 10 species